AAUUACUAAUCAUAUACUGCAAAGAAAUUUAUUUUAGUUUAUUUUUAUACCUUUUGCAUAAUGGUUUAAUUAUAAAUAAUUAAAAUUUAUAUUCCCGAAAUUAGAAGAUCUAAUUUUAUUAUUUUUUUAGAAAUAUUAAUGUUUCAAAAUUAUUUUUAAAUAUAAUUAGGGGUGAAAGGCUUAUCAAUUCUAAUGAUAUCUGGAAUAAUUUUAAAUGUAUUUAGUACAGAAUAUAUUUGAAUAAAAAAAUGUUAAGAUUUUUUUAAGUAGAAUAUAAAUUAUAAUUAUGGACUAAUCUUCCAAUACCUUAUUAAAAAUAAAUUUAUUAUUUAUGUAUCUUAUAUAAAAUUAUAUAUUAAUUUUUUAAAUAUUAAUUAUGUUAAAAUUAGUAUAAUAUUUUUAUUAAUUUAAGGAACUCGGCUAACUAUUCACCUGUUUAUCAAAAACAUAGUCUUAUGAUAUAAGGUGAAACCUGCCCAGUGAAUAUUUUUAACGGCCGCAGUACCUUGACUGUGCUAAGGUAGCAUAAUAAAUUGACUCUUAAUUGGGGCCUUGAAUGAAAGGAUAAGUAGUUUCUGUCUCUAUUAACUUAUUACAAGUUACUUAGAAGGUGAAAAUUCCUUCAUUUUUUUAAAUAGACGAGAAGACCCUAGGAGUUUUAAUUUUGUUGGGGCGACAAUAUAGCAUAACCUAUAUAUAAAAUAAUAUAACGAAUAAUUUUAAUAAUAAUUUAACUACCCUAGGGAUAACAGCAUAAUUUAUUAAGUUUGUGACCUCGAUGUUGGA
rnacentral:rRNA from 1 species